rnacentral:rRNA from 1 species
UACGUAGGGUCCGAGCGUUGUCCGGAGUUACUGGGCGUAAAGGGCGCGCAGGCGGCGGUGCUGGCCCGGCGUGAAAGCCCCCGGCUCAACCGGGGAGGGUCGUCGGGGACCGCACCGCUUGAGGGCGGUAGGGGCUGGUGGAAUGCCCGGUGUAGUGGUGAAAUGCGUAGAGAUCAGGCGGAACACCCGUGGCGAAGGCGGCCAGCUGGGCCGACCCUGACGCUGAGGCGCGAAGGCGUGGGGAGCGAACGGG